UAAGUUCGACGGAUGGUCGCGGCUGUAGAAACGAAAGGCUGCAGGUGAGGAAAGUCCGGGCUUCAUAGGGCAGGAUGCCAGAUAACGUCUGGUGGAGGUGACUCUAAGGAAAGUGCAACAGAAAUAUACCGCCACGUUUGUGGUAAGGUUGGAAGGGCAGUGUAAGAGACUACCGCCUGUGUGGUAACAGACAGGGCAUAUGUAAACCCCAUCCGAAGCAAGACCGAACAGGAGACAUAAGGUUGCCCGCCUGUCUCGGGUAGGUCGCUUGAAACUGGUGGUGACAUCAGUUCUAGAUAGAUGAUCAUCUAAGACAUAACCCGGCUUAUAGUCGGACUUAUUUA
rnacentral:RNase_P_RNA from 1 species